rnacentral:rRNA from 1 species
UACGUAGGGGGGCAAGCGUUGUCCGGAUUUAUUGGGCGUAAAGAGCGUGUAGGCGGCCAGACAGGUCCGUUGUGAAAACUCGAGGCUCAACCUCGAGACGCCGAUGGAAACCGUCUGGCUAGAGUCCGGAAGAGGAGAGUGGAAUUCCCGGUGUAGCGGUGAAAUGCGCAGAUAUCAGGAGGAACACCCAUAGCGAAGGCAGCUUGCUGGGACGUUACUGACGCUAAGGCGCGAAAGCGUGGGGAGCGAACAGG